CCUACGGGGGGCAGCAGUGAGGAAUAUUGGUCAAUGGGCGCUAGCCUGAACCAGCCAAGUAGCGUGAAGGAUGACUGCCCUAUGGGUUGUAAACUUCUUUUAUAUGGGAAUAAAGUGCAGUAUGUAUACUGCUUUGCAUGUACCUUAUGAAUAAGGAUCGGCUAACUCCGUGCCAGCAGCCGCGGUAAUACGGAGGAUCCGAGCGUUAUCCGGAUUUAUUGGGUUUAAAGGGAGCGUAGGCGGGUUGUUAAGUCAGUUGUGAAAGUUUGCGGCUCAACCGUACAAUUGCAGUUGAAACUGGCAGCCUUGAGUACAGUAGAGGUAGGCGGAAUUCGUGGUGUAGCGGUGAAAUGCUUAGAUAUCACGAAGAACUCCGAUUGCGAAGGCAGCCUGCUGGACUGUAACUGACGCUGAUGCUCGAAAGUGUGGGUAUCAAACAGGAUUAGAUACCCUAGUAGUC
rnacentral:rRNA from 1 species